rnacentral:hammerhead_ribozyme from 1 species
AUCUAAAUGACGAACCCUAAAUAGGACGAAAUGCACAUCUUGGAU